AUGGUUGGGGUUGUAGGACGGACAUAAGUUCUUAAAUGGUCAACAGAAGCAGAUGGAAAUAUGCGUCAUAGAGGGUGAAAACCCCGUAUGUUGGUUUGAUAAGAAUGGACCGUAUCCUGAGUAGCGCGGAACAUGUGAAAUUCUGUGUGAAUCUGCCGGAACCAUCCGGUAAGGCUAAAUAUGUCAAGAGACCGAUAGUGAACAAGUACCGUGAGG
rnacentral:rRNA from 1 species